rnacentral:lncRNA from 1 species
GAGACACGGGGUGUUUUCUGGAGAGCGGGGUUCACAACGGCGAUCACGAGCUAUCGUCAGGCGACUGGGGUUCAAUUGGAGAGCAGGGUUCAUUGUUUGGCAAACAAGACUACUAUGAAGUUGUCGGGGUUCAAAUGCGGUGAUCAGGGAUCAUUCGCGCGAAGAAAAUAUUUGUUCGGGGUCCAAAAAAAGCAAAAAAAAUCAUCAAUCAGAAAGUUUCGGGGUUCAAGAAAAAAUAAAAAAUAAAAAAUAAUAAUCCCCAGCGGAUGCGGCGUUCAGGCCAUGGGUAUUCCUGUGUUACCAUU